ACAUGCAAGUCGAACGGUAACAGGGUGCUUGCACCGCUGACGAGUGGCGAACGGGUGAGUAAUGCAUCGGAAUGUACCGUGUAAUGGGGGAUAGCUCGGCGAAAGCCGGAUUAAUACCGCAUACGCCCUGAGGGGGAAAGUGGGGGACCGUAAGGCCUCACGUUAUACGAGCAGCCGAUGUCUGAUUAGCUAGUUGGUGGGGUAAAGGCUCACCAAGGCAACGAUCAGUAGCGGGUCUGAGAGGAUGAUCCGCCACACUGGGACUGAGACACGGCCCAGACUCCUACGGGAGGCAGCAGUGGG
rnacentral:rRNA from 1 species